rnacentral:lncRNA from 1 species
CCCUAUCAUCAGAAGGUAAAUGUCUCAAAAUUUUUAUUAUGGGCAGUUGCGUCUCAUCUACGUGAGAGUUUUUUGUGUGGAAGGUUUGACCAAACUACGUAAUAUAGAGGGAGAUAUGAGCGUUUUCGUGUGAUAAGUGACGAUGGAUUAUGGUUGACCGUUUCGAUCGAGCCCUUAACAUUGUCGGAUCCAGUUGAAUUUUUUACCAUAGACAUCUUUCGUCAUAAUGAUCAUAUCUGACGGUCGAAUUUUGGUUUGUGAAUUUUAGUCAUCGGAAUCACAACGUGUCUACUAAUGUUGUAUAACUUGUUUAGUAGGUUAUACAACUUUGUGAACCAACUCUACAUAGGAAGCAAAAUUAUCAAAAAUCUCGUGAAAUAAGAUGUGUUCAGAAUGGGGAAAUACGGCUAUGGUUCAAAAAUCACGUAAAUCGGGUAAAGUCUCGGUGCCGAUAGUAGCGGUCAACCCUAUUUACCGUUAUUAUUCCCUAUGGGGAGCCCUAUCGUCGGAAGGUAAAUGUCUCAAAAUUUUUAUAUAGGCGGUUGCGUCUCAUCUACGUGAGAUUUUUUCGUGUGGAAGGUUUGACCAAACUACGUAAUAUAGGGGAAGAUAUGAGCGUUUUCGUGAAUUUAUAGACUUUAGCCGACGAGAUAUUAAAAAAGUCGUCGGCUAAGGUAAAAAAAUUUCAAAAUUUUUUGGGUGGUAAACCAAAGUUGGAGGAAAAUUUUCAAAGGACUUUAGCCGACAAAAAUAUAUGAAAAGUCGUUGGCUAAAGUCGAAAAAUUUUCAAAAUUUUCAACCAAAUUUUUUUGGCGAUCAACCAAAAUUUUCAAAAGAGUUUAGCCGACGAAAAUAAAGAAUUUCGUCGGCUAAAGUUCUUUAUAUAGGCGAAGAUGGAUGGUAAGAAGUCUAUUAUCUGCCAGAUUUUCUUCUCGGCCUAGCUCCGCCGUUAAGCCACCGGAGACCGCCACAGUUGUCCCAAAAGCUUCGCCGUCGUCUCUACUUCAUUGUUGGAUAGGUGGUGCAUCGAGUGGCGCCGCCGUGAGGGAUAAAUCGAGCUCUAAAACUCCGCCAGUUCGGAUUCGGUGUCGAUCGAAUUUCUCCUUCCUUAGGUCACCAUUUGGUGAGUUCUAUAUAUGGAUAAGUUGAGUUUGAUUAGUACUACAUUCCCCUAGAAUUUGGUAGCUCGAUUCGGUGUGUGUGAAGAGAAUCGAAGAUUUGAAGUUUUUAGGGUUUAAAAUUGGGGAUUUUUAUAUUUUGAGUUGAUUGACCUGUUUAGGCUUAGAAUUGAGCUUCGACUUCUUCUAGAAAGUUGUUCGAAAUGUUGAGAGGAAGAUUCUGUCAAAUUUUGGUUGUGAUUGGAGGUGGCCGAAAGUUUCUGCAGUUUUUUUUUCAAAACCCAGCAACUUUAGCCGACGAUAUUUAAAUACUAUAUUCGUC